rnacentral:lncRNA from 1 species
GCCACUAAGUUUCGACGUGGUUUAUUACACAGCAAAAGCCAACUGCUAACCCCAGUUGGGAGGGCAGGUCUAUUUGAAGACAUCAAAUCCUAGCUGGGGGAACCUGCUGGGGAGAGAAGGUAGGUGGGGACUUUUUCUCUCCAUUUGCAAAGCUGGAUGACUUCACACCCUCCCAACUCUUAUCCCUGUCCCCAUUCUUUUUUUUUUUUUUUCCCCUCUUUUUAUCCAUCAUGCUUCCAGCAGGGGAAGGAAGCAGACGUUCCCACUCUUGGUGCUGCAUACCUGCUAAAGGGAGAGAGGAUUAGCUGUGGUAGACCAGCCAGGGAGCAGGACGCCCGCUAGAUAAUUAACCCAUCCUCCUACAUACCUUGGCUUCCAACAAAAGGAGCUGUACAAAUCGACCCAACAAAAUUAUCGGUGCUAAUCUCCCAGCCCCUCCUUCCCGCUGUCCCUCUCCUGGCCAGCACCUGGCAGGGCUGUUAAGCCAUCACAUUCUACCCCCCCUCAACCCCCAGCCCUGUCCCCACUCUCCUUUUCUCUCUUUCUCAAGUUGUUACCGCACAGGCAUCACGGAAGGAAUCAAACAGGGACAGGUCCUAUUGUUCGGCAAAGAGGCAAGAAAAAAAAAUAAUCAAAAAAGCAGGGGACUUAAAAAAGACCAGAAUUAUUUCUCAAAUAGAAUGGGAAAAUCUAACAUGCCUUAUCACUACGGAGAACAAGCACUGUGCAAACGCCCAGGCCUCUGACUGGCAUGCCGCUUGUUUUGAAUAGACGCAUGACAUUGUCAAAGAGCCUGCCAUUGUGUUGCUGAAAGGCACUUGCAACAUUGCAUAAAAAUCAGGCGUUCGUGUCACCCUCAGACUAGUCAAAGCUGCUGUUUUUUUUCUUUCUUUCUUUCUUUUUGAAAGAAGAAAGAAGGAAAAUAAGAAAUGUCCCCAGAAUAAGACCUUCAAAGCCAGAUAAAUGUUAUUUUUGAAAGACACUAGGAAACUGGGCACCCAAGCAAAGCCGCGAACGGAAGAGUGUCCUUCUCAUCUGUCACUUCUCGGGGAGGAAAUGAAGUUUCAGACCUUUGGAAUUCCAGAGGGAUCUAAACUCGUCUCCGGGAACUGGGCUUAUCUCCUGCCACCCUUAAACCAUGCUGAGGAACCCGGAGGGAGCUGA